AGUGAACGCUGGCGGUAGACCUAACACAUGCAAGUCGAACGGCAGCACAGUAAGAGCUUGCUCUUACGGGUGGCGAGUGGCGGACGGGUGAGGAAUACAUCGGAAUCUACUCUUUCGUGGGGGAUAACGUAGGGAAACUUACGCUAAUACCGCAUACGACCUACGGGUGAAAGCAGGGGAUCUUCGGACCUUGCGCGAUUGAAUGAGCCGAUGUCGGAUUAGCUAGUUGGCGGGGUAAAGGCCCACCAAGGCGACGAUCCGUAGCCGGUCUGAGAGGAUGAUCAGCCACACUGGAACUGAGCCACGGUCCAGACUCCUACGGGAGGCAGCAGUGGGGAAUAUUGGACAAUGGGCGCAAGCCUGAUCCAGCCAUACCGCGUGGGUGAAGAAGGCCUUCGGGUUGUAAAGCCCUUUUGUUGGGAAAGAAAAGCAGCAGGUUAAUACCCCGCUGUUCUGACGGUACCCAAAGAAUAAGCACCGGCUAACUUCGUG
rnacentral:rRNA from 1 species